GAGGGUACAGCUCAGUGGUAGAGUGCAUGCUUAGCAUGCACAACGUCCUGGGUUCAAUCCCCAGUACCUCCA
rnacentral:tRNA from 1 species